rnacentral:rRNA from 1 species
GCUUGCUCCUGGAUUCAGCGGCGGACGGGUGAGUAAUGCCUAGGAAUCUGCCUGGUAGUGGGGGACAACGUUUCGAAAGGAACGCUAAUACCGCAUACGUCCUACGGGAGAAAGCAGGGGACCUUCGGGCCUUGCGCUAUCAGAUGAGCCUAGGUCGGAUUAGCUAGUUGGUGAGGUAAUGGCUCACCAAGGCGACGAUCCGUAACUGGUCUGAGAGGAUGAUCAGUCACACUGGAACUGAGACACGGUCCAGACUCCUACGGGAGGCAGCAGUGGGGAAUAUUGGACAAUGGGCGAAAGCCUGAUCCAGCCAUGCCGCGUGUGUGAAGAAGGUCUUCGGAUUGUAAAGCACUUUAAGUUGGGAGGAAGGGUUGUAGAUUAAUACUCUGCAAUUUUGACGUUACCGACAGAAUAAGCACCGGCUAACUCUGUGCCAGCAGCCGCGGUAAUACAGAGGGUGCAAGCGUUAAUCGGAAUUACUGGGCGUAAAGCGCGCGUAGGUGGUUCGUUAAGUUGGAUGUGAAAUCCCCGGGCUCAACCUGGGAACUGCAUCCAAAACUGGCGAGCUAGAGUAUGGUAGAGGGUGGUGGAAUUUCCUGUGUAGCGGUGAAAUGCGUAGAUAUAGGAAGGAACACCAGUGGCGAAGGCGACCACCUGGACUGAUACUGACACUGAGGUG